AGACCAUGGAAGGGGCUGACUGUGCCUUGCGAUGCGAUUGAUCGGAAACCUUUUGCUACCUGUACCAAACUGGAACAGGGUAAUGGAGAAAAAAUCUCCUUCUGGAGUGACAACUGGUUGCUGGACAGCUCACUAAAGCUUUUUGCCCCUGGUUUGUUCAAGCUAGCCUACAGAAAGAAGAUAUGUGUGAAGGAGGGGCUGCAAAAUAAUAGAUGGAUGAAAGGUCUACAGCGAAUCACCACUGAGUUACAGGCUGAACAACUAAUCACCAUCUGGACUAAAACUGAGUUAAUAUCCCUCGGCCCGACCAAAGACAGGAUCCCCUGGACUCUUACGGCCAACUCUGUUUACUCGGCCCGAUCAGCCUACGUUGCUCAAUUUUAUGGUCUGAUUGAAAAACCCCAGUUGCAAAGGGUCUGGGAUGUCAAAGCAGAGGGCAAGAUCAAAUUCUUCCUUUGGUUAAUUCUGCAAAACAGAGUUUGA
rnacentral:rRNA from 1 species